AUGUAUUAUGUAUGUCUACGAUAUGUAGAUAAGGAGUUUUUCUCGCCUUCCAUGAAAGCAUUUGAAUCAGCACAUUCUAUUAUUGAUGUUGUAAUCUAUUUUGGCAAUAAUAUGGCUCAGAGAUUAUCAAGGAAUUGUAUCACUUCCUCAAAGAAUUUCAAAUCUGAUAGAUAUACAGUACCUUGUCUCUCUCCAAAGCUUCUUUAUUAA